UAGGGUAAGGAUCUAAUUUGGUAGAAAGAAUGGGGAAACAAAUUAAGUUAGAUCUUUAUUUAUUGUAUGCCUUCUAAGUAUUGAAAACUACAUUACUAUAUGUAGUCUAUAGUAAUAAACACUAAGAAUAGUCUCCUCUGAACUAUGGGAUUUAGCAACUCCGAGAGAAAACAUACUAUACAAGUUUGAUGAAUGCUAUGGAAAAGUGCCAAUUUCUAAGGUAGUGUGUAUGUAGACUAAUCAAUUAUUCUAUUGAAAAAUUGAUUAUGUAAAAGGAGGUACUUUGGUUGGAGUGAAGAAAAAUUCAGUUUAAAACAACAACAACAACAGGAAGUUCCAGUCAUGGCACAGAGGAAAGGAAUCCAACUAGGAACUAUGAGGUUGCGGAUUCGAUCCCUGGCCUUCCUCAGUGGGUUAAGGAUUUGGCAUUGCCGUGAGCUGUGGUCUAGGUCACAAAUAUGGCUCAAAUCUGGUGCUGCUGUGGCUGUGGUGAAGGUCGGCAGCUGCAGCUCUGAUUCGACCCUAGCCUGGGAACAUCCAAACGCUGCGGGUGUGGCCCUAAAAAGCAAAAUGAGAACAACAACAAAUAUUUAUUAUCUCAGAGUGUCUGUGGGUCAAAAUUUGGGUGUGGCUUAGUUGGGUCCUCUGUUGCAGGAUCUCUCACAAUGGUGAAACAAGGUGUUGGCAGUCAAAUAGGGCUGAAAUCUCACUCGACUGCACAAAGAUUCAUUUCCAAGCUCCAGUCAGGUGAUUGUUGGAAGGAUUUAGCUCCUCCUCCAUUUCUGAACCAGGCCUCCACUUCUUUAUUGAGGAUUCAGUUCGUUACAGGCUGCUGGCUGGAGGCUUCCCUCAGUUCCUUGGCAUACAGGCCAGGAGAAUUCAGUUUUACUCUGGGAUACUAUAUUGUGAAUACACUGCCCUGGAGUUACGCGAUGUGGCAGCCUGAGCUCAGCUACACAAGUACACACACAAGAACGAUGCCUAGAAAGGUGCUUUGCACUGAGAAGUCACUAAUAACUACUGACAAAUUUGCCAAACAAUCAGGACAUAUAUUUUGAGUUUUCAUUAAAAACACUAAGAUUGUAUCUACAAGAUUAAAGCAAGACUAUUUGAAUAACACACCUUGCAACACAUUCAUGUGGCUUAAAUACGUGUUUAUAUUACUGGAAAAAUACACAAUGGUUUUGUACAUUUGUCUAUUUGUACUAGGGCAUGUAUAUACUCUACUUCUAGAUCCAGCAUUAUCUUACCACACACUGUAGAUAACUACUUGUAUAAAACCUCUGGUUCAAUAAUAAAGUGCGUAGACUGGAUUCUAGACAAAAGGUAGAGUCUGAGAGAGGGGGUGGCAGUCAGGAAUCUCAAGUUCUAUUUUUGGUUAUUUCUGUAUCUACCAGACUUUGAAUGAGGCACAUAACCUCAGUUUCUCUAAACCUUAUUAUUAUUUACCACAUAGAACUGGUAUGAUGAGCUCUCUCUCUCAACAAUGGUGUAACACUUGUUGUUUGUAACAAAAUAUGAAGUACACAGAUGUUUCUAAAUAAAUGCCAAGUAUUCAG
rnacentral:lncRNA from 9 species